rnacentral:rRNA from 1 species
CAUGCAGGCGGUUAGACAAGUCAGAUGUGAAAUCCCCGCGCUUAACGUGGGCAUUGCAUUUUAAACUGUUUAGCUAGAGUUCUGUAGAGGGGGGUAGAAUUCCAGGUGUAGCGGUGAAAUGCGUAGAGAUGUGGAGGAACACCAGUGGCGAAGGCGGCUUUCUGGUCUGUAACUGACGCUGAGGCGCGAAAGCGUGGGGAGCAAACAGGAUUAGAUACCCUGGUA